UACGUAGGGUGCAAGCGUUAAUCGGAAUUACUGGGCGUAAAGCGUGCGCAGGCGGCUUUGCAAGACAGAUGUGAAAUCCCCGGGCUUAACCUGGGAACUGCAUUUGUGACUGCAUGGCUGGAGUGCGGCAGAGGGGGAUGGAAUUCCGCGUGUAGCAGUGAAAUGCGUAGAUAUGCGGAGGAACACCGAUGGCGAAGGCAAUCCCCUGGGCCUGCACUGACGCUCAUGCACGAAAGCGUGGGGAGCGAAUGGG
rnacentral:rRNA from 1 species